UGCUCGGUCCUGCGCUUGUG
rnacentral:misc_RNA from 1 species